CCUACGGGUGGCAGCAGUGGGGAAUAUUGGACAAUGGGGGGAACCCUGAACCAGCGACGCCGCGUGAGGGAAGAAGGAUUUCGGGAUGUAAAGCCCUAUUAGCAGGGAAGAAAAUGACGGUACCUGACUAAGAAGCCCCGGCUAACUACGUGCCAGCAGCCGCGGUAAUACGUAGGGGGCAAGCGUUAUCCGGAUUUACUGGGUGUAAAGGGAGCGUAGACGGGCCAGUAAGUCUGAUGUGAAAGGUCGGGGCCCAACCCCGGAACUGCAUCGGAAACUGUUGAACUAGAGUACAGGAGAGGUAAGCGGAAUUCCUAGUGUAGCGGUGAAAUGCGUAGAUAUCAGGAGGAACACCAGUGGCGAAGGCAGCUUACUAGACUGUAACUGACGUUGAGGCUCGAAAGCGUGGGGAGCAAACAGGAUUAGAUACCCUGGUAGUC
rnacentral:rRNA from 1 species